rnacentral:rRNA from 1 species
CAUUACACAAAUAUGAAGGCGGGCUGGAACCUCUCGGGGUUACAGCCUUGCUGAAUUAUUCACCCUUGUCUUUUGCGUACUUCUUGUUUCCUUGGUGGGUUCGCCCACCACUAGGACAAACAUAAACCUUUUGUAAUUGCAAUCAGCGUCAGUAACAAAUUAAUAAUUACAACUUUCAACAACGGAUCUCUUGGUUCUGGCAUCGAUGAAGAACGCAGCGAAAUGCGAUAAGUAGUGUGAAUUGCAGAAUUCAGUGAAUCAUCGAAUCUUUGAACGCACAUUGCGCCCUUUGGUAUUCCAAAGGGCAUGCCUGUUCGAGCGUCAUUUGUACCCUCAAGCUUUGCUUGGUGUUGGGCGUCUUGUCUCUAGCUUUGCUGGAGACUCGCCUUAAAGUAAUUGGCAGCCGGCCUACUGGUUUCGGAGCGCAGCACAAGUCGCACUCUCUAUCAGCAAAGGUCUAGCAUCCAUUAAGCCUUUUUUUCAACUUUUGACCUCGGAUCAGGUAGGGAUACCCGCUGAACUUAAGCAUAUCAAUAAGCGGAGGAA